UACGAAGGGGGCUAGCGUUGCUCGGAAUCACUGGGCGUAAAGGGCGCGUAGGCGGCCGAUUAAGUCGGGGGUGAAAGCCUGUGGCUCAACCACAGAAUUGCCUUCGAUACUGGUUGGCUUGAGACCGGAAGAGGACAGCGGAACUGCGAGUGUAGAGGUGAAAUUCGUAGAUAUUCGCAAGAACACCAGUGGCGAAGGCGGCUGUCUGGACCGAACCUGACGCUGAGGCGCGAAAGCGUGGGGAGCAAACAGG
rnacentral:rRNA from 1 species